AGAGUUUGAUCCUGGCUCAGGACGAACGCUGGCGGCGUGCUUAACACAUGCAAGUCGAACGGAAAGGCCCCUUCGGGGGUACUCGAGUGGCGAACGGGUGAGUAACACGUGGGCAAUCUGCCCUGCACUUCGGGAUAAGCCUGGGAAACUGGGUCUAAUACCGGAUAGGACCUUUAGGCGCAUGUCUAUUGGUGGAAAGCUUUUGCGGUGUGGGAUGGGCCCGCGGCCUAUCAGCUUGUUGGUGGGGUGAUGGCCUACCAAGGCGACGACGGGUAGCCGGCCUGAGAGGGUGUCCGGCCACACUGGGACUGAGAUACGGCCCAGACUCCUACGGGAGGCAGCAGUGGGGAAUAUUGCACAAUGGGCGCAAGCCUGAUGCAGCGACGCCGCGUGGGGGAUGACGGCCUUCGGGUUGUAAACCUCUUUCACCAUCGACGAAGGUCCGGGUUUUCUCGGAUUGACGGUAGGUGGAGAAGAAGCACCGGCCAACUACGUGCCAGCAGCCGCGGUAAUACGUAGGGUGCGAGCGUUGUCCGGAAUUACUGGGCGUAAAGAGCUCGUAGGUGGUUUGUCGCGUUGUUCGUGAAAUCUCACGGCUUAACUGUGAGCGUGCGGGCGAUACGGGCAGACUAGAGUACUGCAGGGGAGACUGGAAUUCCUGGUGUAGCGGUGGAAUGCGCAGAUAUCAGGAGGAACACCGGUGGCGAAGGCGGGUCUCUGGGCAGUAACUGACGCUGAGGAGCGAAAGCGUGGGGAGCGAACAGGAUUAGAUACCCUGGUAGUCCACGCCGUAAACGGUGGGUACUAGGUGUGGGUUUCCUUCCUUGGGAUCCGUGCCGUAGCUAACGCAUUAAGUACCCCGCCUGGGGAGUACGGCCGCAAGGCUAAAACUCAAAGGAAUUGACGGGGGCCCGCACAAGCGGCGGAGCAUGUGGAUUAAUUCGAUGCAACGCGAAGAACCUUACCUGGGUUUGACAUGCACAGGACGCGUCUAGAGAUAGGCGUUCCCUUGUGGCCUGUGUGCAGGUGGUGCAUGGCUGUCGUCAGCUCGUGUCGUGAGAUGUUGGGUUAAGUCCCGCAACGAGCGCAACCCUUGUCUCAUGUUGCCAGCGGGUAAUGCCGGGGACUCGUGAGAGACUGCCGGGGUCAACUCGGAGGAAGGUGGGGAUGACGUCAAGUCAUCAUGCCCCUUAUGUCCAGGGCUUCACACAUGCUACAAUGGCCGGUACAAAGGGCUGCGAUGCCGUAAGGUUAAGCGAAUCCUUUUAAAGCCGGUCUCAGUUCGGAUUGGGGUCUGCAACUCGACCCCAUGAAGUCGGAGUCGCUAGUAAUCGCAGAUCAGCAACGCUGCGGUGAAUACGUUCCCGGGCCUUGUACACACCGCCCGUCACGUCAUGAAAGUCGGUAACACCCGAAGCCAGUGGCCUAACCUUUUGGAGGGAGCUGUCGAAGGUGGGAUCGGCGAUUGGGACGAAGUCGUAACAAGGUAGCCGUA
rnacentral:rRNA from 2 species